AGCAGAGCACUGUUGUUUUUCCCAAGGGGAAUCCCAUACCUAGUGUUAAGGCUCUUACGUUUUAUAGGUCUGGCACAUUUAGUGUUGAUGUACACUAUGCUGAUUCUGAUCAGCAAGCUAAGAUCAGUACAUAUACGAUCGGUCCUUUUCAAUCUUCUAAAGGUGGAAGAGCAAAGGUGAAGGUGAAGGUUCGACUUAAUUUGCAUGGAAUUGUUUCUGUUGAAUCAGCGACACUGUUAGAAGAGGAGGAUGUAGAGAUUCCAGUCACCAGGGAACAAUCAGCUAAAAUGGAGACCGACGAAGCUCCUGCUGAUGCUGCUGCUCCUCCCAGUUCUAAUGAGAACGAUGUUAACAUGCAAGAUG
rnacentral:misc_RNA from 1 species